rnacentral:rRNA from 1 species
GAUGAACGCUGGCGGCGUGCCUAAUACAUGCAAGUCGAGCGAACGGACGAGAAGCUUGCUUCUCUGAUGUUAGCGGCGGACGGGUGAGUAACACGUGGAUAACCUACCUAUAAGACUGGGAUAACUUCGGGAAACCGGAGCUAAUACCGGAUAAUAUUUUGAACCGCAUGGUUCAAAAGUGAAAGACGGUCUUGCUGUCACUUAUAGAUGGAUCCGCGCUGCAUUAGCUAGUUGGUAAGGUAACGGCUUACCAAGGCAACGAUGCAUAGCCGACCUGAGAGGGUGAUCGGCCACACUGGAACUGAGACACGGUCCAGACUCCUACGGGAGGCAGCAGUAGGGAAUCUUCCGCAAUGGGCGAAAGCCUGACGGAGCAACGCCGCGUGAGUGAUGAAGGUCUGCGGAUCGUAAAACUCUGUUAUUAGGGAAGAACAUAUGUGUAAGUAACUGUGCACAUCUUGACGGGACCUAAUCAGAAAGCCACGGCUAACUACGU